GAAAGCUUGGCCUUACGAUCCUUUUGGUUAUAACGAGUUUUUAGCAAGAGGUGUCAGAAAAGUUACCACAGGGAUAACUGGCUUUUUUUUUUUUUUUUUAUAAUAUGGAUCUUUCGGUCCCCUUUUA
rnacentral:ncRNA from 1 species